rnacentral:tRNA from 1 species
UAUUUAAUAGUAUAUAUAUAUUACAUUUAGUUUCGACCUAAAAAAAGCUUAAAGGCUUUUAAUAA